rnacentral:rRNA from 1 species
AGGAUGCGAGCGUUAUCCGGAUUUAUGGGUUUAAAGGGUGCGUAGGUGGUUAAUUAAGUCAGCGGUGAAAGUUUGUGGCUCAACCAUAAAAUUGCCGUUGAAACUGGUUGACUUGAGUAUAUUUGAGGUAGGCGGAAUGCGUGGUGUAGCGGUGAAAUGCAUAGAUAUCACGCAGAACUCCGAUUGCGAAGGCAGCUUACUAAACUAUAACUGACACUGAAGCACGAAAGCGUGGGAUCAAACAGG